GACACGACAUACAGACAGGAUUUACUCUGAUGGACAGUAUAAGAGGAAGCUGCGGUUUAUAACUGCGCGAGGUCUACUACUAGUUAGGCCUAAGUCAUUUAUACUGUAAGCACAGCAGUCAAUUAAGUAAAUAAAUAAAAUUUCUUUGAAGGAUGCAAGUGGGAGUGUACACAUUAUGGUUGUUCACGGAAAGCAAAACGAAACGAUGCCGCUAUUCAUUGAGCUUGAGGAAAAAUACCUUUUUUGAGAAAUCAUUUCAUGCAUUGUGGGAAAUUUUAGGAUUUUUCCAUUUGUGGUUGAAGAACGUUUCGUCAAAAGUGAUUAGUGAGGAGAUGGAUAUUGCAAGUAAAACAGUUGUAGACUGGAGCUCUUUUUGUAGAGAUGUAAUAUUUGAUGCUAUGCUUGUUAGAAAGCAGAAAAUUGGUGGUCCAGGGUCCAGGUAGGAAAGUGCAAAUUGGUGAAAGUAAGUUUGGGAGAAGGAGGUAUAAUAGAGGCCGUCUUAUUGGAGGACAGUGGGUUUUGGGGGGAGUGGAUGAGCAAUCUUGUGAUACGUUUAUGGUAGAAGAUAGAACUUCGGAGACACUGGUGCCAAUUAUAAAAGAGUUUAUUCUACCAGGUACAACUAUUGUAUCGGACUUUUUGAGGGUCUAUGACUGUUUACAGGAUGAAGGCUAUGAGCAUCAUACGGGGUUCAUAUGAUUUAGAUCAGUUUCUUCAAAAUAAGAUUUGAAAACAAUUGUCCAAGAAGAGACAACUAAAGUUGAGUGCCGGAAAUUUAUGCAGACAGGGGAAUGUCACUAUGGAGAACACUGCAAUUUCACUCACUAUUCACGAGCUCAACUUAAUGAUCUGGUGCUCAGAGCUAGAGAAGAGGAACAUAUGAAGCUGCAUCCAGAAAUUAAUCUGCCAACAGUUGAUUCCUGGCUAGAAAAGAGAAGAAAAAGACUGAUUGACCCCACGGACUCAACUAAAACUACAUCUUUUACACAACAAAACUUUGAUCCUGAUCUACCUCCAUCAAUGCAGCCAAUUAACUACAGAAAUGUUUUGAAUAAAGAACUGAGUACAUGGGGAUGAUCGAUAUUGUGGAAUAAUUAUUCUGUUUGAAUAUGAUACCGGUUCGGUUUUUUAUAUUCCCAGUUUUUCUCGAAUGCCGUUAUUGGACGUCUAAUUUCCUUGGUAGAAAUUCUUCGAUAGACUAUUUUAGAUUUCAUUCGAGAUAUUUAUUUAGUUAAGAAUAUUUCAUUUUGUUUAUUGAUAAACAUGAAAUCGGUUUGGAAACAGCAGGCAUGUAUCCCAAACCACUUCUAAUACAUAAAAUUUGAAGAAAAGUACCUUAAAUAAUUAGAAAAACUCCACAUUUGCUCAGUUGAAUCAGAGACAAAUAAUACAAGUCUUAAUUCAAUUUCAUUUUAACGGUAACGUUAUCUUACCGUAACGUUAUCAUUAAACGUAACGGUACCGUAUCUUCAUUCUAUGGUUGAAUACAACUAUCCAACUUCUACAAUUAGUUGUUCUGUAAUCGUGAAUUGUUUGAAUAGAAUUUAAACUGUUAAUUUGUAGUUUCCCGUACAUCAUGUGUGUAAAUAUAAAAUUGAAGCUAUGAUA